CGUGCUUAACACAUGCAAGUCGAACGAUGAAAGAGGAAGCUUGCUUCUUCUGGAUUAGUGGCGAACGGGUGAGUAACACGUGAGCAAUCUGCCCUUGACUCUGGGAUAAGCGUUGGAAACGACGUCUAAUACCGGAUACGACCCUCGGAGGCAUCUCCUGGGGGUGGAAAGAAUUUUGGUCAAGGAUGAGCUCGCGGCCUAUCAGCUAGUUGGUGAGGUAAUGGCUCACCAAGGCGACGACGGGUAGCCGGCCUGAGAGGGUGACCGGCCACACUGGGACUGAGACACGGCCCAGACUCCUACGGGAGGCAGCAGUGGGGAAUAUUGCACAAUGGGCGAAAGCCUGAUGCAGCAACGCCGCGUGAGGGAUGACGGCCUUCGGGUUGUAAACCUCUUUUAGUAGGGAAGAAGCGAAAGUGACGGUACCUGCAGAAAAAGCACCGGCUAACUACGUGCCAGCAGCCGCGGUAAUACGUAGGGUGCAAGCGUUGUCCGGAAUUAUUGGGCGUAAAGAGCUCGUAGGCGGUUUGUCGCGUCUGCUGUGAAAUCUGGGGGCUCAACCCCCAGCCUGCAGUGGGUACGGGCAGACUAGAGUGCGGUAGGGGAGAUUGGAAUUCCUGGUGUAGCGGUGGAAUGCGCAGAUAUCAGGAGGAACACCGAUGGCGAAGGCAGAUCUCUGGGCCGUAACUGACGCUGAGGAGCGAAAGCAUGGGGAGCGAACAGGAUUAGAUACCCUGGUAGUCCAUGCCGUAAACGUUGGGAACUAGAUGUG
rnacentral:rRNA from 1 species